GCCGGGCAUGGUGGCGCUCACCUUUAAUCCCAGCACCUGGGAGGCAGAGGCGGGCAGAUCUCUGUGAGUUCGAGGCCAGCCUGGUCUACAUAGUGAGUUCCAGGUCAGCUGGGACUACAGGGAGAUGCCUGUCUCAAAAAGACCAAAAAAAUAAAUAAUUUCUUCUUUUCUGAUGUAAAUGUUUAAGACUAAAGCUCCCUGUAGUGGGGCUGGCUUGGAACUCACUAUGUAGACCAGGCUGGUCUUUAACUCACAGAUGAUCUGCCUGCCUCU
rnacentral:sRNA from 1 species